UCUUAUCAAGAGAGGCGGAGGGAAGUGCCCUAUGAAGCCCGGCAACCAACACGAAAGUGAAAAGGUGCCAAUUCACACAAAGUAUAACUUUGAGAGAUGAGU
rnacentral:ncRNA from 1 species